UAUCUUCCUUUUGCCUGAUAAUCUCUACUCCUAAUAUAGCAGUUGGUGAAUAAUCUUCCGGUUUUUUUGCUGGUUUUUUAUCGUCUAUCCUCCCACCUCUGUUUUAUUUUCGUUGGUUAUUUUUCGUCCGGUUUUUUUACCUCCCCACGGGUCGAUGCGCUCACAGGCAGCCCACAGAAACAAUCCAUCGCCACUCACCCACGACUCCCUCACCCCGGCUAGGGUUCCUAGCCCCUCCUCCUCAGCCGCCGCUGCAUGUUCCUCGCUGGCCUCGCCCGGGCACCUCCCGGACCUCGCCGGGAGAAGCCAGCCAACGCCGCUUCCGACCUCGCCGGGAGAAGCCAGCAGGACCCCGCCGCCAUGCCUCCCUCUCCCCCUUAUCCUCUUUUCCGCUACCUAUCUCUUUCCUCUGAACCUGAUUGGGGUGCUGCGACUGGCCUCCACUCCAGAUCCGUCCGCCUUUGAUCCCGUAUCCUCCCUGGCUCCCUCCCGACGGGAUCCGACCUCGACAACUGCACACGGGUGCGACGGGAUCCACCACUCUAGCGAGCAGGAGUAGCACGGUGGCUGUGGUCUGCUCAGACCCCCGACUGACGACGUGAGGCGUGCGGUGGUCUGCAGCAAGGAUAUCCUUCCAUGGCUGGACGCACUCUUCAUCUAAAUCAUGUCUCUAAACAUGCUGCCGUUAAGUUUCAUCUUGAGCACUGCAAUCAUGCAUGCUACUCUCAUCGACUAAGCACUUGCUACUAACAUAAAUAAUGCCUCCUACGCUGGACAUCACUACUAAAGAGGUACUGUCGGUGAGUAUCACUGUUUAGUUUUUUAUAGUCUAUAGAUUUAUUUAUACGGACAGUGCAGAUUCAUCUAUUACUUCGGCUAAUGUGACUGUAGCAACAUUCACUCCAUUCAAUUUUUUUGGGGAAACUACAAUAUUCAUUUUGUUCACCUGAACAUUGAAUUAAGGAAUGCAGAAGGUUCAGGGUUUAUGCAAAUUAUUGAAAUUUAAUAUUUGUGGACAAUGGAGAAACACAGGCGGCAGUGUUGAAUUUACACCCGUUGUUGCACCUGCAUCUUUUCGGCAUCCUUAGCACGAUAAGCCCAAACACGAAGAUUAUAUGCCGCCUUGGAUUUGUGUGGCUGUUAACUUGUUGUCAUCAAACACUUUUUUUCCUUAAUAUGUGCAGCUUUUUUGGGGCGUCCAUGGAUGCAAAGGAAUCCCAUGAGUACAAUGUACACUGACAUCAUCUUCAUCAAAUUCUUCAAGCUCAGCAAGUGUGAGGUAACUAAUGCAUGUGUAUUAUCUAUUUCAUCGAAGUGUAAGAUUUCUCCUCUUCUCUUGUUUGUGUUCAAUGGUUGUUGUGGUUUUUUGUUUUGCGUUUCAACAGUGACAUGUAUCCUGAUUAGGCACUUGCAUAGGUACUGUGUAGAGCUGGAACUUCUAAUAAAAAAUGACAUAUGCAGUGAAGCAAAGGAGAGAGACUGCAACCUUUUCAGGCCUGAAUCUAUCCCCAUUCUGAAUCUACUUGGUUAUUGAUUCUCAUUUUCAGCAUAUGAAAACCAAAUGCUAUUUUUUUUCUAUGCUCUCCUCUUCGGCUCUUCCUUUAUGAUUCAGCAUAUGCUAACUGCUACUGUAGCUUUCAUGCUUAUAUCCUUGGUUAUAUUUUACAGCGAUCCAAAUCAAGGAUUUGUGUUGAUAUCCGAAGUUCCUAAUGACGAUUGGUUCUUAUUAGUUUCUUUAAAGGAAGAACAACAAGUGGUUGUACUAGGAAGAUUACCUUGACAUGGGAGUUUCUUUUUUCUAACGAACAAGGGAGUCUUUAUUAUUUCACUUGAAAAGAUGAUGUACGCAUUUAAAGUGUAGAAUUUCCAUUUGUAUAUUCAUAUUGUGCUUAACUUUUACUUUCUAAAAAUCAAUAUUGGCUGGCGGUUUGGCCGAUUAUUUAAGAAAUAAAAACCUUAGGUGUUGAUCCCUUUGAUCUCUAGCCAUAUGACUUCCCAUUCAAGAUAUGACAGGGCAUGGAUGUGAUACACCCACAUACAGAGAUGUGGAGGUGUAAAGUUGGGACGAGCAGGCUUGUAGAUGAAGUGUUUGUACUUAUGGCUCAACAAAACUGACUACUCUAGCCUUGCCCCCAUUAGUGUAGUGUUAUUAUCUUCCGUCCCAUGUUUUGUUGAAAGAUCUUCCAGAUUCAUGACCCGCCUUAAAAAAAUGUACAAUGCAAAUACAACCAUUUAUCGUUACAGGUGAGGGAUUUAGUGCAGAAAGUUACUUUACAAGUAGUCUCAAGCUGGAGGAUAACAGAUUGGUUGAGACAUUAGGGAUCCCCAUCAAUGUUAUAUUAUUUGUCUGCAGGUAUAUUCUCAGCUCCAAAUUCUAGAUAUUAUAGUGAGUAGAUGAGGUGAAAGUAUGCGCAACAUAGUUCUGCGGUGUUAAACCCCACGUAGCACGAUGGUGGUUGUAUGCUGCCAUGGAGGAAUUAAAGGCGCAUGUUGAUUAAAAGAAUAGGUGUAAGUAAGGAGUGGUUGGGCUUCACUAACAUUGUCGAGUAAUCUCAUGAUCUGCUCAUGAUUAAUUUAGUAGCCCAAUUUGUUUUCUCAAAAGGUACAGUAUUGUUAUGGUAAAAGCUACACUUUGUGGCCUCAAAUAGAAUUCAGUUUUGUAGAUUGAUAUCCAUUAGAAAAAAAUAUAGAUUUAUUUCUGAUUCUGUCAUAUUAAUUAACUUGCUUCAGAAACAGAGAAGAGCCAUGGUUUGUUGUUGCUUGAGAUGCAUAUGUCGGCAAUGUUGUAAAAGGACAGACCCAGUGCAUAGAAGCUCCCACACAAGGUGGGGUCUGGGGAGGGAUUAUAGGAACCUAGUCUUACCCCUGCAAAGUGCAAUGCAGAGAGGCUGGUUCGAACCCAGGACCUCUUGAUGUCGGCAAUGUUGUGUUUUCUUAUUUUAUAAAGGUUGUUGUUGGAUGAGCCAAACAGUGGAAAAAGUGGCUUAUGGGACAAUUUUAGUUCAUUGGAUCAAUUGUAGAUAUCACGUGCCAUUUUUAUGUUCACGUCGUCAUUAGAUCAGUUGUAGAACAGCCCACACAGCUUGUGUUCUUUUCAAAACAAACAUACCCUGAUACAUGACAAAGUUGUAGCGUUGAUCUCAAAAUUAUGCUUCUAUGGUGUACAAUAUACACUAUAGACCUAAGAGCGGGUAGCUUCAGCUUGCUUCUGUAGUACGCUUUCUCAAUGAUAAUCUAGCCCAUGCUUGAUUAUAUUACAGAUUAAUCCUGUUGAAAGCUAUAUUAAAUCCUACUUUUGAAAGCUAUACAUUUAGAUAUUUUGAUUUUUGUAAUGUUCUGCAUGCAUUUUUACUCAGGAUAAUGUCGCAUUGGAAGCGUGGUUAUACUUGACAAUUAGCAGGUAGAUGCGAGCAGGUAGGAUGGGAUAUUUCGCCGACGGCCAGGUGGAUGAUAAGACCGAAGAGGAAGGCCGCACCAGGCAUGCAUAGAUGAUGCAUGCCUCUGCACAUUUGUGGUGGAAUGGUGCUAGCUUGAGGCAAUUACGCAUAGUCUUUUUGGACAGGUUGUCGACAGAGAAAAAUAUAUAAUUUGGCGUGAGGAAUAACAUAGCCAGGCAUGCUGGUACUAUAAGUUGUGUUACAUAGAAACAAAAUUUGUUUGUUUGCUUGAGUGAAUAUGUCUAAUGUAUACACAAAGAUUCAAUUAUGUGUUUCAAAUUUGAAGUAUGUGGUUGUUUCAGUGCUAGAUACAUCAGUUUGAGCGCCAACUAAUUCCGGACGAAGGAAGUACAUGACAUCCCUCUUAACGGAAUAAAAGGCCACAACUUCACCACAUAUAUAGUGUAACUAAAUCUCAUGUUUCAUGCUCUGACUUAUGUACUAAAUUCUAUUAACAUGGCUACAGAUUUUUUGGUUGUAUUUAAUAUCCCUCUAUAACAUCUUUAGUUAUCAAACAUGCCAGCAUUCACGUGAAUGUUGGUAAAAUAUUCCUGUCCAUUUUGGUUCAGUAUCAAUUAAUGUAUUUUUCAUUAGAUAAUAGGCAGUGUGGGUGGCGGAAUGGCAAGGAGUCCGAUCAGAUGUCUUGGGUCCGUGGGGAGUUGUGGCUCUCAACUACAACAACAUCAUCAAGGCAACCUAUAUUGGUUGAUCAAUUGCUAACAGCCUAACACAGCAUGUUUUGAAUUGCAUUUAUUUCUGAUUAAAAGUAGCAGUUUCUGCUGUUGUAUUAAGAUUUCAACGAGAAUCUAGAAUUGGCUCUAAGGGAGCAAGGGUGUUCGGCGCCUGGAGGAGCUUUCAUGUUCAAGGAUCUCGCCCUCGCCGUCGAGACCAACGGGGUCGUCGCCGAGUACAUCUGGAUGACAUGAAGCAUUUGGCACCGACGCUCACCUCUUUGACAAGCCAUGCUUUCUGGGUUUGCUUGCAGUUCAGGUUUGGUCACUUGAUUUCCUGCCCAACUCCUCUAAUAAUCGAGUAUGAUCAACUAAUCCAUGUUUGUUCGCUCUAAUCCUCUAAUAAUUAUGCUUUCUGGAUAGUUGAACUACUGACUAUUGACCGGAGAAAAUUUAUUGAUGACCAGUACCCAGGAUGCGUGUAAGUGUCUAAAGUUAAAGUUUAGAUUAUCAUAUUGCCAGGCUACCCUUUCAAAGGUAAAACAAUAGCAUUAUUUCACUUCCACUAUAGAUUUUUGGGCGUCCUUGGACUUUACCAUCUGAGAUUUGCAUAAUUAUUUUGAGAAUGGGGUGAGCUGCGCCCAUGGUAGCCCACUGUCAUAGCCUGGCAAUAUGCCACUGAAAUUGCUGGAAUAGAAAACAUGUCCACAAUCAGACAUGUCUAUGUCAGUUCCUCUACUCUCCAGCUUAAGACCAUAAAUGGGAGGCAAACUCACCUUCAUAUGAACAAGCACAUGCCCACAUUCACCUUUCUGUAAAUGGGAGACAUCAUACUCUUUUUAUUAUUAGCUUAGUCUUUGUUGACCUGAAGAAGUAGCUUACUUCCGAACACAUAUGUCACUAGAAUAACAAGGUGAAAUCUUGAUUUUUCUUGCUACAAAGAGAUGGCAUCAUAAUUAAAUUCCAAUAUCAUCAAUCCAAUCACGAAUCCUGAUUUUUUAUUUUUUGAAUACGCAAAUAAAUUCACUUUUGGUCCGUUUGGUAACUUUCUAAUUGCCUUCUUACACCCCAUGGCGGAUAUGUGUAUGAAAUUGUGAUCGGCUAUAAACAUGAAAAAAUUACGAAUCAAAUAGUAGACCGUACUUCAUGUGUGCAUUGAGAGGAGGCGUAAGGAUCACGUGAUAUAUACCAUUUCAUAUAUCACAGUAACAAAACACGCUGUGGUGGUCGCCCUUGGAUGACGGUGUGCAUUCCAUGGCACUGGGAAAUCGCACUAGGAUGGCGUAGAGGGGGAGGGCGACACUAUGGAUAGAAGGAGACACGACGCUGGAAUUUCGUGGCGCUCCUUGAUGCCAACAACAUCAGGGAGGAGAGAAGCUAGGGGGAUCAGAUAUGAGUUUGAGCAUUGUUGUGGAAUGCGAUAUGAGGGUGAGCAUUGUGCCAUACGAUGAGAGAAGGAGAGAGUGAAUUGCUCUUUUAGAAUAAAAAGAAAAGGAGCGACACUUUUUUAGGGAAAACGUUUGACUGCUAUGAGAGAAAUGUCACAUACUUUUAUAUAGUGAUAUAGGGAAAGCGGUAGUUUGGUGUGAGAAAAAUGUCACAUAUUUUAAUAUAGUUGAAAACAUCAGAUACCCUUUUUUUGCGGAGGGAAAACAUCAGAUACACUAACAAGUCAUGUUUAGAAUGGAACGGACCAAAAAAGUAUCGAGUUUUAACAAUCAUAAGAGAUGCAUACAAAUAAUGGUUCUUAAUAUAUUUGUUACGCAUGAUAAUACAAAAGGUGUGUUUAUAUAUAUUCUUAAUAUAUUUAUUUAUUUUUGUAGUGUAUAAGAGAGAUAAAGAUGGAUUAUGUCGACAUUCAAAAAAAUCCCAUAGGUGACAUUGGUGUAGAGGUGAUGUCGCUGAAAGAGGUAAAAAAUUCACUGAGAUUUACACAACAAAAGGCCCGUUGUCCUAGGGUUAAGUAAUGGGGCAUUUUAGUUAAUCAUGCGGGCCUAGGGUUUUCUAACUCAAAGAAAAGUCAGGGAAUCCAUCAGUUAAAGUCUGGCUUCAAUCCAAACACGCUGUCAGACUUUUAGGCCAUGGGAUCAGUAAAUCGAGAAGGAGAGAGGCCUUUGACUUUCCAGCCAUGACCUCGCUAGAUCGAGAGAGAGGAAGAGAUCAGUCAGGGGUGGCGGUGGCUCAGGAGCGCGAGUGCGGCGGAGGCCAUAGGGCAUGAGCGAGCAUGGAGAAGGGACCAGAGGUAGGAUGCGGAAGGUGGAGCAUCAUCCGUGGUGCGACACCGUGCGGCAGUCGUCUGAGGUGUCGUGGAGGUGGAGCGAGGCCGUUGGGAGUGAUGAAGGGCAGCGUAGGCAAAGGAGAUCCCAUGCAAAUUAAGAAUGAAACGUUGAUUGGUAUAUGAGAAUCUGCUUUUCUUUCUGCUCUACAUUUUUAGAAACUCUGUACGAAGCUGGUGCACAUUGGUUUUGGGUUGGUAUAUUUCCUUAUGUAGCCUUUGUACGGGUAAAUCAGACAGAGAUGGGGACUAUAGGUGGCCUCUCUUUUUACCCAACACUGUUAUUGUUAAUGAGUCUAACAAUGAACUGACUACAUCUCCACCUUUUCACCUUUGUUACAGAGAUUCUCAAAGGUACAAAAUAUAACGUCGGCACUUUAAGUCUCCCAUUUUGAUUGCCGUGAUUUGCAAUUUCUUUGUGGGGGCAGUAGUAAGCUCUCGUGCCAUUACGUUGUUGCCAGGUGUUCUCCUGUGAUUGUUCUAGCGAAGGUUCUCGAAAACGGCAUAGCCAUUUAUGUUGCUUCUAUUAGGUGUGGCUGACAAAGAUGGGGGCAAUUUGGGCACACGAAAGUCCCUUAAAAUCGAGACAAAUCCUACGUUGGAACCAUCUCAAUGUUCUUUGCCAGCUUCGUCGCAUCGAGCCUGUGUAUAUACUAUUCGAUCUUGAAGCCCCAAGUCAUUUUCUGUUCCCAUGAUUAUUUAGCAAAUGCAGAAAACAUUUUCGAUUAUAUUAUAUGUACAUUGUUGGGUAGUAGUUUUUCCCACUAGAUCUGAAUAUUAGAAAGGAUAUAUCUUGUAGCUGGUCAGACUCAGAAUCAUGUCAUGAUCUCUUAAGGGCCUAAUGAUUGUUGUUGUUUUUUCCUUUCAAAAAUUAAAACUCCUAGGUGAUAAUCAUAACUAUCAUAAUUGUACAAGCAAGAUUAUCAGAAUAACUAAGCAACUAUUUCUUCGGAUUAAGUAUAGAGUUUAGGGUGGUUUUUUUUUUGCAGAUUUAUAGUGCCUAUUUUUUUAGGAGAUUUAUAGUGCCUAUUUUGAAUCAACAAGGACAAUGAUAUUGCAAGGCUUGAAAUUUUAGACUCACUUUCUAUGCCAAGCUGGAAAAUUGAUAUGUCUUAUGAUUAUAUAUGCAACCAGUAUUUCUUUUUGAAAUGCCAGUGGCAACGCAUCCGUUACACCUUUGGCAUGAAAUUUUCAUACUAAUUACAUAUAUUGUUUGUGCAGGAUAUGUAUGAGUUGAGGAAGCGGUUUUUAUUAUACUUGCUAAAACAUCGUGGGAAUGAAGCUAAAGGCAACUUUCCUGAUAUUGUGAAAGAAUUUUUUAAGCGCAUCAUCUAGAUAUUGAUAGUUUUGUAAUAGAUGUUUAGUUGGAACAUCGCUUAGUUUGUUACAUGGACAUGUUGUUAAUUUUUCUUUUUCUUAUCAAUUUACAUUGCAAAAAUGGACUUCAAUUAUUCAAUAAUUAUGUUUGUGUUAUAUUGUUUGUA